GAUGAACGCUGGCGGCGUGCCUAACACAUGCAAGUCGAACGGAAAGGCCCUGCUCUUGCGGGGUGCUCGUGUGGCGAACGCGUGAGUAAAACGUGUGUAACCUGUCCUUGACUUUGGGAUAACUUCAGGAGACUGGGGCUAUAAUCGGAUAGGAGCUCCUGCACCACGGUGGGGGAUGGAAAGUUUCGGCGGUUGGGGAUGGACUCGCGGCUUAUCAGCUUGUUGGUGGGGUAGUGGCUUACCAAGGUUUUGACGGGUAGCCGGCCUGAGAGGGUGACCGGCCACAUUGGGACUGAGAUACGGCCCAGACUCCUACGGGAGGCAGCAGUGGGGAAUAUUGCACAAUGGGCGGAAGCCUGAUGCAGCAACGCCGCGUGCGGGAUGACGGCCUUCGGGUUGUAAACCGCUUUCGCCUGUGACGAAGCGUGAGUGACGGUAAUGGGUAAAGAAGCACCGGCUAACUACGUG
rnacentral:rRNA from 1 species